rnacentral:lncRNA from 1 species
AACAACAAAAAAUAAUCUUCGUACACAAUUCCAACAAACUAAACAAUUUUUAAUUUGUGUUUAAAUACACUAGUAUUUGCGACAAGUGAAGAAACAAUCAAUUCUCUUAUCUUCCCUUCUACUCCUUCCUCCCUCCUUGCCCCUGCUUUCUUCUUGUUCCGUUUGGUUUUUUUUUUUUCCCUUCUUUUUUUGUAGACUUAUGUGGGAGCAAUUUUCGUCCCACAAGAAUAUUUUCCUAAGAUUUCUUCGUCUUCUUCGCUUCUUUUUCUCUCUACAAAACAAAUCGGAAUAAGAGAACCACACCAAGGGGUGUUGGCCAAAGGCCCUAUGAUUCCUAAGUUAGGUCGAGUGUUUGUAGGAAAAUAAUAGUUAACAAUAGGAUGGAGAUUUCUCUAUGGGGUGAAAACUGGGCGGUCGGAGCCUUGUGUGUGAGAGAGAGAGUAUGG